UAUAAAUGUCCUCCAGCCGUUCUACAGCACAGAGAAAAACAGUUGGAACACAAAUCAAUACUGAGCAGCUAGUCAGGGUAACAUCCAGAAUUACAAAAUAUUAGAUAUUAUUUAAAACCAGAGCAGCCAGAGAAGAAACUUUAAUGCAUUAAUAUCAUAUUUUUGGGGGCCUUCAUUUACCUUUUGAUUCAGAUAUGCAAACCCGCAUGCCUGUAGUAGUUUAGCAAAUGACUAUACAAUUAAUGUUAUGUUCAGUUAUUAGUCACACAUCGAAAAUAAAUCAUCUGUGAAAAUUUAUCCACCUCAUAUAAAAGACAGACAAAUAUAAACCUUUAGAAUUACUGGAGGUGGGUUUGGGAGUAGAGUGGCCUGCGCUAUCCAAAGCUGCUGCUUCUGAUUGCAUUUGUCUUCGUGUCAGCUGCUGGCUAAUUUCAUACUGGAGUUGGCUAUGAAGGUGCCAGGUAUCUCCAGUGCCACUCCCAACUGCUGUUUCAUUGUGGUCGCUUGGUACUAUAGACAAUGAGAGAUUGACAAUGUAAUUGAACAAUAAACUGCAUUAAAUGUGGAUGUAGAGUGUAGUUUU